GAUGAACGCUGGCGGCGUGCUUAACACAUGCAAGUCGAACGGUGAAGCAGGAGCUUGCUCUUGUGGAUCAGUGGCGAACGGGUGAGUAACACGUGAGCAACCUGCCCCUGACUCUGGGAUAAGCGCUGGAAACGGCGUCUAAUACUGGAUAUGUGAUGUGACCGCAUGGUCUGCAUCUGGAAAGAAUUUCGGUUGGGGAUGGGCUCGCGGCCUAUCAGCUUGUUGGUGAGGUAAUGGCUCACCAAGGCGUCGACGGUUAGCCGGCCUGAGAGGGUGACCGGCCACACUGGGACUGAGACACGGCCCAGACUCCUACGGGAGGCAGCAGUGGGGAAUAUUGCACAAUGGGCGGAAGCCUGAUGCAGCAACGCCGCGUGAGGGAUGACGGGCUUCGGGUUGUAAACCUCUUUUAGCAGGGAAGAAGCGAAAGUGACGGUGCCUGCAGAAAAAGCACCGGCUAACUACGUGCCAGCAGCCGCCGUAA
rnacentral:rRNA from 1 species